rnacentral:rRNA from 1 species
UUGCCUAGAAUUGUGGUCGAUCCCGCCACCCCUCUGAACUAGCGUUCGAGACUAAGCCAUGCAAGUGUAAGCUCAAGACCUCUCGUAGGUCGAAGCCGCAGACGGCUCCGUACAAGGCAGUUAAUCUACGGUCCAGCGAAUAAUCUACGGAUAUCUCUGGUAAGCUAGAGCCAAUACGUGUUACCAAUUCUCCGUUAGUCCCUCGGGGCGAGCGGGGUGCAGUUACCGGAACGAGGUAGCGUGCUUCGGCGCGCAAUCAGAGGACUCUAGAUAACCUUGCCGACCGUGUAUAUUAUCCACGGCGUGGACCACGAGACUGCCACCUAUCAACUUUUGACGGUAGGGUAUUGGCCUACCGUGGUUGCAACGGGUACGGGGAAUCAGGGUUCGAUUCCGGAGAGGAGGCCUGAGAAACGGCCGCCAUUGCCACGGCACACAGCAGGCGCGCAAAUUUGUCAAUAUUCGAAAGAAUGAACGAGUGAGAACGUAUGGUCGGGUGGGACGAAUUUCGUUACCGCCACGUCGAUGAGACUAGUCCAAAAAGCUAGUCGAAUGCCACUGGAGGGCAAGUCUGGUGCCAGCAGCCGCGGUAAUUCCAGCUCCGGUAGUUCACGGGAUUAUUGCUGAGACUAAAACGUCCGUAGUCGCAACUAGCACCACCCCGGUGCCAGGUAUAUCUCGUAAUGAGAUUGCCUGGCUCGGGGCGGCACGGCCCUGGUGACGUUCGCGCGUCACUUGCGGCCCGCAUCCUUGACCUAAACCAAACGAUCAAAGUGAGCUCGUGCUCGAUGGUUUUGCAUGGAAUCGUGGAACGGGGCCGGCGUUCUGUACUUCGAGAGCGCUGGCGACGAUCAACGGGAGCGAUCAGGGGUGAGGGAACUGAAGGGCGAGGGGUAAAAUCUGAUGAGCCUUUCAAGACCACCGAAAGCGAAAGCAUUCACCAGGAGCGUUUCCGUCGAUAAAGGACUGAAGCCACCGUAGUGAACUGGAUUAGAUACCCAGGUAUCGGUGUGCCCCAAACUAUGCCAACCGGCCGGAUGCUCGAUUUACUUUCGUGGCGAGUAUUCGGUCCGAGGAAGCUGGAGCGAUUUGGCUUCUGGGAGAUUACGGCUGCAAAGUUGAAACUUAAAGGAAUUGACGGAAGGGCACCAUCAGGCCUGGAUUAUGUGGCUCAAUUGGAUUCGACGCCCAGUACCCAACCAGGACCGGAGCACCCGACGAAGCACUGCUCGAAUAGCCUUGCCGAUGAGUGUGCGGGUGGUGCAUGGCCGCCGUAGUUCGUGAGGUGACUUGUCUGGUUAAUUCCGACAACGAACGCAACCGCCCCGUUCGACUAUCGAGCCCUGCGCAUAUUGCGUUCGGCCCUUAGGAAACUCGAACUGACAAACUCGUGGAGCGGGUCUACCGCAACCGAGAGGAAGCUACGGCGAUGGCAGGUCUGUGAUGCCCCUAGAAGCCCUGGGUUGCACACGUCAUACAAUGCCCGUCCGAACGCGCUUACGCCGUGCCGAGAGGUACAGCUUAAUCGUCGUAAAAGCGGGCCCAGUUGGGAUCGAGGAUUGCAAUUGUUCCUCGUGAACGCGGAAUGCCUCGUAGGGGCGGGUCAUCAACUCGCCCCGAAUAAGUCCCUGUCCUUUGUACACACCGCCCGUCAUUACAGCCAAUGCCUCGUCAGCGUCAAGAGGCUGGACAGACUGCACUUCGGUGCGGCCCGAAAAGCCCCUGAACGUCGAUGAAACUAGGGUGUACAAGUCGUAACACGGUCCCCGUAGGUGAACCUGCGGGGGGAUCACCC